UGGGGAAUUUUGGACAAUGGGCGCAAGCCUGAUCCAGCAAUGCCGCGUGCAGGAUGAAGGCCUUCGGGUUGUAAACUGCUUUUGUACGGAACGAAAAGCCUCUCUCUAAUACAGGGGGGUGAUGACGGUACCGUAAGAAUAAGCACCGGCUAACUACGUGCCAGCAGCCGCGGUAAUACGUAGGGUGCAAGCGUUAAUCGGAAUUACUGGGCGUAAAGCGUGCGCAGGCGGUUUUGUAAGACAGUGGUGAAAUCCCCGGGCUCAACCUGGGAACUGCCAUUGUGACUGCAAGGCUGGAGUGCGGCAGAGGGGGGAUGGAAUUCCGCGUGUAGCAGUGAAAUGCGUAGAUAUGCGGAGGAACACCGAUGGCGAAGGCAAUCCCCUGGGCCUGCACUGACGCUCAUGCACGAAAGCGCGGGGAGCAAACAGGAUUAGAUA
rnacentral:rRNA from 1 species